GACACCAAACCCUUGGAAAAUCUGUGGCUCAGCAGGUUCGAUGGAAAGACAUUGAACCUUGCACGAAUAAAUGCAUGUCGGUGUGGUACAGAUGAAAGAGAUGACAUGUAUGAUGGAAGGCCAAGUGGUGAGGUUAUUCCGUGAUACCUGGGGGAGCAGACACCCUCACCCCCGGCGAGGUUGUGUUGAUUUUCAAUGUCUGCUAAUCUCUGCUCAAUAAGUCUUUUGGCUGAGCGUAAGUUCAUCUUUAAGGAGUCCGCUGGGGAAAUUCCGAUGCUCAGAAGUUUGGCAUGGAUUUUUCCUACCCAUGGAUUGACAAAGUCGUCCCGCCAGAGGCACUGAAAAAGGUAAUGGUUGGGAAGCCUGUGCCAGCUGGACAGCCAAUAACCAAAGACUCGCUUCCAGAUGACCGUCUCCAAUGAUGCAAUCCUUAACUCCAGACGUAUGGCUGCGUUGCUCACACACAUGGGGAGUUUCAGGAGGCGACGGAGAAACUGAUUCUGCAAUGUCCCCAACGAUGUUAAAUUGGACCCUGGGGCCCAGAGCGGGGCAGCAUAACAGAGGGUGGAAACCACUUUUGCAUGGUACACCUUCAAUGCAGAAGGGAUGUGGGAGGCUCCGUCGGCCGCAAAAAAUUGGAGUAGAGUAUAAAGUAUUGUUUUCCCUUUGUUUAGUAAAUACUGUAUCUGUGGCUUCCAGCUUAGGUUGUAGUGAAAAAGACUCCCAGGUAUUUAAAUUUGAAAACUUGUUCUAAUUGGACUCCAUCUAACUUCCAGCUGUAAGUUUUCCGAGACCUGGUAAAGACCAGGACUUUAGAUUUCCCAUGAUUAAUUGUCAGAUGGUUGAGUUUGCAAUAAGCCGCAAAAAUCUUUAGAGCUCUGCAUAAACCGACUCUAGAGUAGGAAAGGAUCGCUGCAUCGUCGGCAUAUAAGAGCAGAGGGCAGCGAAAAUCAGCUAGGCGGGGGCAUGAAUGUUGGCUUGAGACUCAUUCAGAAAGAGCUUCAUAUCGCUAAUAAACAAGUUGAAGAGGAGUGGGGCCAAAAUGCAACCUUGGCGCACACCUCUAUUUAUUGGGACCUCGUUGGAUAGGUUUCCCGCCGGUGUGAGUCUCACUCUAGCCGACGACCCAUGGUGUAAUUGGGUUAUAAGCCAUAACAGCCUUCUAUCUAUGCCCCAUCUCUCUAAUUUCUUCCAUAGACAGUUUCUUGGGAUACUGUCGAAGGCGGCCUUUAGGUCUAUGAAAGCGACACAUAGGCGCCCCCGACUCGGGGCAGAAUAUUUUCUGGCAAGAUGAUACAUGAUUACCAUAUGGUCAGUGGUCGAAUAAUUGUUCCUAAAGCCCGCUUGCUCGUGGCCAAUCAAAUUUGAGUCGUUUGCCCAAUUGGACAGCUUGGACAGCAAAAAUUUUGCAUAGAUUUUCCCGAUGAUAGACAAAAGGCUGAUGUUCCGAUAGUUCUCCGGGUCAGCAGGGGGACCCUUUUUAUGGACUGGCACGAUCACGGCCUCCUUCCAUGACCUAGGGAUAAGCCCCGUAGAAUUAAUUGCAUCAAAGACUUUGGCCAGGAUUUCAGCCCACCACCUCGGUUGCGCAACAAUAGCCUCAGCAGGGACUAGAUCCAGCCCGGGGGCUUUGCCCGUUUUCAGAUCUAAUAUCAAGUCCAUUAUCAGGUCUGGGUCGGUAGAGGGCCACAAAGGUAGAUGGUCGGCUCGGAAUUCAGUGGAUGAGUUGGAUUCCUCUGCCAAGGAGAAAUAUUUGCUCAAGAAUUGUUCCCAUGUGGGCGCAGGGAUAAUCGUCAGUGGGUACUUCCUUCCUCUUUUGUUUAUCAAAGCCCAAAAUUCCUGUGGUCUGCGGGAUCUAGAGGCCGCAAUCAAGGCUCGCCAACGCUUUAGAUACCACUCACGUUUGGCCAGCUUUAAAGUCUGUUUGUAUGCUCUUUUGGCUUGUAAAUAGGAGGAUGGUAGAGCCUGGGCAUUAGAGUUUUUGUAUUCAUUAUAGAUGGAACGAAGAAGGGAUCUUGCUUGUUUGCAAGAGGUAUUAAACCAAGGGGCCCCAGCACUGCAAUGCGCUACUUUCGCCUUUUGAGGAGGUAAUGUAAAAAAGUGGUAAGGUUUGUUGUAAGAAGGUUAAAAAUUUCAAAACCGAAUUGGAAUCUUGUAAAUCAGUAGCUAUUUGAGGUAGAUAGGCAGUGAUUUCCCUAUGGAAAAAAUCCUGGUAUUUUUGGGCCACAGCCUCCGACCAUUUGAUCCCACUUAUUUUGGUCGCUGAUGAGGUUUCCAGAGGGACUGAGUGUUUAUAGUCCUUCUGGUACCGGAACAAUGACAAAGUGGUCACUAUUGGGAGGUGAUCACUGAAAUGUUGGUUUUCAACUUGGAAGGAAAGUACAUUGACGGCCAAAUUUGCGGAGAUCAAGAGGUAAUCGAUAACACUGUUAGA